rnacentral:rRNA from 1 species
AUUGAACGCUGGCGGCAGGCCUAACACAUGCAAGUCGAACGCGUGGCGGACGGGUGAGUAAUGUCUGGGAAACUGUCCGCUGGAGAGGGAUAACUACUGGAAACGGUAUCUCUAACCGCGUACCCUCUCAUGUGCCCAGAUGGGAUUAGCUCGUAGGGGGGGUAACGGCUCACCUAGGCGACGAUCCCUAGCUGGUCUGAGAGGAUGACCAGCCACACUGGAACGGGGAAACGGUCCAGACUCCUACGGGAGGAAGCAGUGGGGAAUAUUGCACAAUGGGCGCAAGCCUGAUGCAGCCAUGCCGCGUGUAUGAAGAAGGCCUUCGGGUUGUAAAGUACUUUCAGCGAGGAGGCGUUACUCGCAGAAGAAGCACCGGCUAACUCCGUGCCAGCAGCCGCGGUAAUUC